rnacentral:rRNA from 1 species
CCUACGGGUGGCAGCAGUGGGGAAUAUUGGACAAUGGGGGAAAGCCUGAAGCAGCAAAGCAGCGUGAGGGAAGACGGCUCUAGGAGUGGAAAGCUCCGUUAAUAGGGGAGAGGAAGGAAGGUAGCAGAAGAGUAAGUAAGGGCUACAUGAAUGCGAGCAGGCGAGGUAAGUGGGAGGUGGCACGGGUUGUCCGGAAUUACUGGGGUUAAAGGAUGCGUAGGGGGUUAAACAAGUUAUAUGUUAAAUAUAUAGGCUUAACCUUUAGAAUGCAUAUAAAACUGUUUAACUAGAGUGCAGGAGAGGUAGGUGGAAUUCGUGGUGUAGCGGUGAAAUGCUUAGAUAUUACGAAGAACUCCGAUUGCGAAGGCGGCUUACUGGACUGUAACUGACGCUGAGGCAUGAAAGUGUGGGUAGCAAACAGGAUUAGAUACCCGAGUAGUC